UGCGAUAAGCGCCGGUAAGGUGAUAUGAACCGUUAUAACCGGCGAUUUCCGAAUGGGGAAACCCAGUGUGACUCGUCACACUAUCAUUAACUGAAUCCAUAGGUUAAUGAGGCGAACCGGGGGAACUGAAACAUCUAAGUACCCCGAGGAAAAGAAAUCAACCGAGAUUCCCCCAGUAGCGGCGAGCGAACGGGGAGGAGCCCAGAGCCUGAAUCAGCAUGUGUGUUAGUGGAAGCGUCUGGAAAGGCGCGCGAUACAGGGUGACAGCCCCGUACACAAAAGCGCAUGUGCUGUGAGCUCGAUGAGUAGGGCGGGACACGUGGUAUCCUGUCUGAAUAUGGGGGGACCAUCCUCCAAGGCUAAAUACUCCUGACUGACCGAUAGUGAACCAGUACCGUGAGGGAAAGGCGAAAAGAACCCCGGCGAGGGGAGUGAAAAAGAACCUGAAACCGU
rnacentral:rRNA from 4 species